rnacentral:tRNA from 1 species
CGGGGCGUGGCGCAGCUUGGUAGCGCACCUGCUUUGGGAGCAGGGGGUCGCAGGUUCGAAUCCUGUCGCCCCGA